AAUGAUGGUCUUCAGAAGGCCUCUCAUGGUGGUCUUGAUUCAGAGGUUUGAGAAGACUACCAAGCACCAGAGCCAGCUAACAGGUGGACCAAACAUCAAGCCAGAAUUCUGCAUGAGUCAGAAUUUAUGUCUUUUGAUAUUAUUGCCUAAUGCAACAAAUGGAAAAAAGCAUACUUUAUGACAACCUUAGCAGCAGAACACCAUGACUUUCUCCUGGGUAGACGAGAAAAAAAGUUUGGUAUCAACACCCAUCUAACAAUUAAGGUAAAAGAUAAAGUUUUAUGAUCCCUGCAUUCAGGUUAGAGUAUGGGGUAAGUUGACCGUUCUAUGGGUGUUUCUCAAAUGCAAGGUUGCAUCCUAUGGAGGCUGCGUCCAUCUUAGACCUGUCCUUCUGAGAUUUCGAGGUUAGAAUCCACCUCAAAAGCCAGAAUGAGAUGGUUUAGUUUGAUGUCCAAGGCAAUGUCAUAAUGGUUUCCGCCCCAGUGGUCAUGGCAUGAAAACUUUAAAGAGAGAAGUUGAAAAUUAGCAAUGCAUCACCAAAAAAAAAUCCAAUACUGUAGUACAGUGAAUAAAAGUCAUGUAUCAACGGUCUUUACAACAUGGACAGUUAAACCUUUUGUAAUUGAAUUAAAACAACAAAAGAGAAAACAAGCAGAUUGAGAUGUCCUUCAACAAUGCUUGAUGACGUGGCAGCCGAGACAUGCAGCAUUCUAGGACGCAGCCUUAUUAAAAAAAAAAAAAUGGACGCAGCCUUAUUUAUUUUUAUUUUAUAUAUGUAUAAUGUACCCCCUGACUGAACUUGUAUUUCUUAUUAUUUAAAAAAAAUAUAUUAAAAAUAUUUUUAAAAGAACGCAGCUGUGCGUUUGAGAAACGACCGGAAACGACUUAUAUGUCGCGAGGCCAUCACGUGACCACAAUAUUUACCAGAAGACCGUUAUUUGCUCGAGUUCCCUCAACUUUUUUGUCGCAAAUAACAUUAUUAAUAACCUGUAAAUAAUAAAAUUUGUACACAUUACGUUCCUUUUCACGUUGUAAUAGUAUGUUUUUGGUUUAAUAGUCGGCUUUAAGUUAGUUUUUCUGUCAGUUUGAUCGUCAAAAUCUUGAUGGGUGCUCAUGGUGGCCUCCAAAUAAAUACAUGGACAGGCUGCUAAAGAGGGUCAGGAUGAUGGAGAUGCAAGAGCCAAAGACAGCACGGACCAAACACCAGGCCAGAAUUCUGCAUGAGUCAGUUUCCAGCCUUUUUCACAAAGUUGCCGACAACUGGAAGAAUGUCCCAAAUUGCUGAAAAAAGAAAUUCAAUUGAGUAAUUUUCACUCUAGAGACCCUGGGGUGACCAACAAGGACGAAUGAAAACUCCAGUGAGUGUCUCUAAGGUAGAUCCUAAUGCAGAUGGAUGGAAUGUUGAUCCGCCUAACAUGCAAGAUUUUCUGCACCGAGAACUUUGGAUGACCAUCAAGACAAGCACUCGUUUUGAGUCCUGAGACCCUGGGGUGACCACCGUGAACAAAUACAGACUGCAAAAAGGCAGUCUUGAUGGUUCUAGGAUGAAUGCAAAUAAAGACUGACCACCUGACUUCAGCGGUCCAGUCUCUUGUGGGAAGCAGGUGUUUGUUACCUUAAAUACGGAUGAAGAGUGACGAAGAGGAUGAUGACUUUUUCUCAAACAUCAUCUGAAGGAUCUUGACAGGCUGGAGACAAAAUUAACAGACUGAGGGUUUAUACAAAGAAUCUUACUCAGCCAAUAUUAAAGAUAAGAUAUUUUUACAAAAUGUUCUUUUCAUUGUUUAGGAUUUUAUGUAGAAAACAAUACAUCACAAAAAAGACUUUAGCUGGGUUUUCACAGGCAGUGCCUUACACACACACUAACCACAAUUAUAAACGCAACACUAACACAGAUUUAGACAGAUUUGUGAAUAAUAUUUGAGAGAAAUAGGCCUUUUGGGGACAUAGAAAAUAUUUAAGUUCAGCUCAUGAAAUUAAAAAUGGGGGCAAAAAAUGUUUUAACAAGUGCAAUACAAAUAUCAACCAUAAUACUGAUCGUUUAAAAAAAAGUAAGCCACUAUAUCUUUCUAGAAUCUUACACAAGACUCAGUUACAUAAACGAUCAAAAUAAAUUAACGUCAGACAGGUGGGCGAAAUAUCAAUAUUAAAGCAUGAAUAACUGUUAUCAACCCAAUUUCAAGGUAUUAUUUAAAUGAUCCCACACCA